AACUACCUGCAUCAGCUUCCGACACAUUCCACCGCCAGAGGCGCUUAAAGUAUGCCUUAACUCUAUCGGAAACUAAUGGAAACUAUUAAAUGUUCCAUUAAAUUCCAACAGAUGGCGACAUGAUAGCGUAAACAAGCUUACAGUCAUUGCACCAAAUUAGGGAAGAAAACAUUUUAUGAAUUUUUGCUUCUGAUUUAAUUUGAAAUGACAUUUUUUGUACACCUUUCAUUGCAUUGUUUUAAAAAUUUAUUGUGUUUUUCAUAAAACGAAACACAUGCUAUUAUUUUUGUAAGAAAUGAGCCUUUCAUGAUUAUAUACUUGAUUGAAUAUUUCAUUUUGUUCUGAAAACGGUGCAGUACGGUAAAGAUGCGGAAAAAAAAUUUGACAGCUCAUUUGUGUGAGCCGAUGAGCACCAUCACAGCACUGCAGUCGUGAUCGCCAGCCAUGGAACACAAUGUAAAUAAAUAAAUCGAAAUUUUAUCGCGAGUUUACAAUAAAAUUUCGUAAUUCUGGGCCUGGAGACGAUGGGAUCGUACGAGGUGGAUCUUUUUCGUAAAAAGAGAAGUUUCCGCAGGAGGAAAGCAGAUCGAUCAAAAACUACCUCCACGGACCGCACGGAAUCUAAGCGAUAAAAUCGACCAACCAGAAGAUCACAGAAGUGCAGGAAAAGUUAAUCCAGGAACGGACCAAGUUUAAUUGAAAGUACGAAGCCGACGUAAUGAAGUUUUCGCAUGAUCCGGAGCUGAUGUAGUUUCCGCCGACGAUGCUCAAGGCUUUUGUCGUGGGUUAGUUUGUAUUUUUCCGGUGAAAUCCGUGGCAAACACGCUGCUUGACAGAGCAUAAACAGUACGUGGUACGCAAUGUUGAGUGCGUGUUCGUCAGUUCAAUGACAGCCUAGGAUUAUGCUUCAGAAUUUUUGCAUCUAAACCGAUUCAUUCGACGAUGACUUCUGAUAGUCCAGCUCCUGGUAUAAGCGAAUUAGCAAAGAAAAAGAGAUUCUUGUUGCUGAAUUAAAGCAACCAAUAAACAAUAUAUUUAAUACCAA